AAUCUGGGGGCCCGGGCCGGGGGCCGGCCGAGCUGGGUUGCGCCGGCCCGGCACUGGAGACCCGCGGCGGGUCCGGGGAGCGGCUCGCGGACUGGUUCCUCUGCCUGCCCCACCACGUGGGCGGCUGCGGGCGGCGGCCAGGGCGCGUGCUCGGUGCGGGGCUGCGGGGGCCCCCGGAGGCCAAGGGGGCGUGCCGGGGGGCCCCCGGAGGAUGCGCUCGAGGCCUGGGGCCGAAGUCUCCCGGCCGGGCUCUCGGCACGCGGACACGCCGCGCCCGAUCGCCGAGCGGCCACUGCGGGAGCCCACCCGCACCUGCUCGCGUCCUUCCGGGCGCGUCUGUCUUCCCUCCUUUGCUCCGUAAAGGACUGGAAACUAGCGCCCGCCCGGUCUCCUCCGUGGUUUUCUUGAAGGUGCCCGAGGAGGGGUUUCCCCAAAGAGAGCCUGCCCCUGGACUGCCAUCUAAUGAAUAAAUGCUGCGGAAACCAGGUCCUUAAAGCGGGAAACAGCCCAGCGAGAUCUAGAGAGAGGAGUUUGAAAUACGUGGACUUUUAAACAUAGUGAUUGGACCACGUGUCGCCUUUAAUGUGGUCCGGCUUCAUGACUCAGGCUAAUUGAUGUCAACAGUAAAUAAAAAGAAGAUGGCUAAUAAGAAUUGUGGAUGUCGAGAUGUAGAAGUGUUUGUCUCAUAAAUAAUCAGGCUGUCUGCAAGGGGAUUCAUGAGGAGCACAAAACCCAGGAUCUUGGUUACUUCCGGGAGAAGUGGAGCAAACCGCUAAGCUCAUGCAGUGUUCCUGGAGACACGUUCAUCCUCGGAUGGGCUGGCUCUGCUUGCAGCACUGCCUUGUGUGGGAAAGAGCUCAGCAUAAGAAGGAGGCAGAGGCUGGAUCCACACCUACUGGGCGAACUGUCCAAAGAAGCACUGAAUUAACAGAGGCCGGCAUGCUCCUCCUUAUUUCCUGCCACUUCGAGAUACUUCAGAUCUUCUCUAUCUCCUCCCCAGACCUAGAAGCAAUCAUUUCUCCAAGAGGUCUGGUUCCUUCUGUUGGAGAAUUCUAUCAGAAACCAAAAUCUAGGCACUGGGUGCACGUGUUGCUACUGGGGUGUCAUUGCUUCCAGGCCCCCUCAGUUGACAGAACAAGGAAAUAUAUGUGUGUGUACCAACUUGGGUAUUCACAUGGACUGGGUCUAGAUUAAACCAAGCAAGAACUAAUAGUAAAGUCUCAUACUGAAUCGCCAGAUCGAGUCCAUUAGCACAUGGGUCACUCUGACCUCCUGCCCUGCUCCAGCAGUGACGGACCUGGCUCUCACCAUCUGCCAUCCAUCUAUUCACUGUUCCAUUUAUAAUUUAUUUUUUAAAUGAAAGCUAUAGGGAAAGGUUGCAACUUAUUACAACAUCCAGACCAAAGGUACAGAUUAGUUACAGAGCAGACAUCUGAAGGGCAAGAUGCUGCGUGCCAUGAUGCAUUCAGGGCACACACUUUCUGUUGGUGCCUUGUACCUUUCCAGGGGACCAUCUUGGAAACAUGGGCAAAAUGUCCUUUCAAAACGAGUCCCACUUGGGAAGGAUGAAAACCACCAAAGCACACCUUUCUUGACGAUUAGGCAAGGGUGGGUGCUAACGAGAAAAGCAAGAUUGAAAACAUUUAUUUCAACUGCAGUUCUUACCUCCUUUGGAAUAAUGGAUUCCUUUGAGACUCGGAAGGGCUGUGGACCCUCAACCCAGGAAGACAUUCGCAUAGCUCAAGCAGCAUGAAAAACUGCCCCACGGUGGGGAAACCUCACCUUUGAGCCCCUGUGUGCACAUCAUACUUGUGGGUACGAUAUGAACAUCAAGUUCAUUUGCUUGUUUUUCAGUAGGGAGGAGUGAGCAAGUG
ensembl:lncRNA